AUUGAACGCUAGCGGGAUGCCUUACACAUGCAAGUCGAACGGAGUGGCGAACGGGUGAGUAAUGUAUCGGAACGUGCCCAGUAGCGGGGGAUAACUACGCGAAAGCGUAGCUAAUACCGCAUACUUUUGGAGCGGCCGUUAUCGGAUUAGCUAGUGGGUGGGGUAACGGCUCACCAAGGCGACGAUCCGUAGCUGGUUUGAGAGGUCGACCAGCCACACGGGGACUGAGACACGGCCCAGAGUCCUGCGGGAGGCAGCAGUGGGGAAUUGUGGACAAUGGGGGAAACCCUGAUGCAGCCAUCCCGCGUGUGCGAUGAAGGCCGUCGGGUUGUAAAGCACUUUUGGCAGGAGAGCGGUACCUGCAGAAUAAGCACCGGCUAACUACGUGCCAGCAGCCGCGGUAAUUC
rnacentral:rRNA from 1 species